rnacentral:rRNA from 1 species
CAUUAGCUAGUUGGUAAGGUAACGGCUUACCAAGGCGAUGAUGCAUAGCCGAGUUGAGAGACUGAUCGGCCACAAUGGAACUGAGACACGGUCCAUACUCCUACGGGAGGCAGCAGUAGGGAAUCUUCCACAAUGGGCGCAAGCCUGAUGGAGCAACACCGCGUGAGUGAAGAAGGGUUUCGGCUCGUAAAGCUCUGUUGUUGGAGAAGAACGUGCGUGAGAGUAACUGUUCAUGCAGUGACGGUAUCCAACCAGAAAGUCACGGCUAACUACGUGCCAGCAGCCGCGGUAAUACGUAGGUGGCAAGCGUUAUCCGGAUUUAUUGGGCGUAAAGCGAGCGCAGGCGGUUGCUUAGGUCUGAUGUGAAAGCCUUCGGCUUAACCGAAGAAGUGCAUCGGAAACCGGGCGACUUGAGUGCAGAAGAGGACAGUGGAACUCCAUGUGUAGCGGUGGAAUGCGUAGAUAUAUGGAAGAACACCAGUGGCGAAGGCGGCUGUCUGGUCUGCAACUGACGCUGAGGCUCGAAAGCAUGGGUAGCGAACAGGAUUAGAUACCCUGGUAGUCCAUGCCGUAAACGAUGAGUGCUAGGUGUUGGAGGGUUUCCGCCCUUCAGUGCC